rnacentral:rRNA from 1 species
UCUUGCGCAAUGCGCGACAGCGUGACGCAGCAACGCCGCGUGGGGGAAGAAGGCCUUCGGGUUGUAAACCCCUUUCAGGACCGACCCCCCCUUGGGCCGUGAAUAGCGGUUCCAAGUGACGGUACCUUCAGAAGAAGCCCCGGCUAACUACGUGCCAGCAGCCGCGGUAAUACGUAGGGGGCAAGCGUUGUCCGGAUUCAUUGGGCGUAAAGAGCGUGUAGGCGGCCAGAUAAGUUCGGUGUGAAAGUCAAAGGCUCCACCUUUGAAUGCCGCCGAAUACUGGCUGGCUAGAGACCGAGAGAGGCAAGUGGAAUUCCUGGUGUAGCGGUGAAAUGCGCAGAUAUCAGGAGGAACACCGAUGGCGAAGGCAGCUUGCUGGAGCGGUACUGACGCGAGACGCGAAAA